rnacentral:rRNA from 1 species
UACAGAGGGGGCGAGCGUUAUUCGGAAUUAUUGGGCGUAAAGGGCGCGUAGGCGGCUUUUCAAGUGACGGGUGAAAUCCCUCGGCUUAACCGAGGAACUGCCUGUCAGACUGGAAGGCUUGAGACCGGGAGAGGUGAGUGGAAUUCCCAGUGUAGCGGUGAAAUGCGUAGAUAUUGGGAGGAACACCAGUGGCGAAGGCGGCUCACUGGACCGGAACUGACGCUGAGGCGCGAAAGCCAGGGGAGCAAACGGG